rnacentral:rRNA from 1 species
GACGAACGCUGGCGGCGUGCUUAACACAUGCAAGUCGAACGAGGUCCAAGCGAUGGCAACAUCGUGGACGACCUAGUGGCGAACGGGUGCGUAACACGUGAGGAACCUACCCCGGACUCUGGGAUAACAGGUGGAAACACCUGCUAAUACCGGAUGCCGUCGGACCAUCGCAUGGUGGACUGACGAAAGGAAUUCCGGGUCGGGACGGCCUCGCGGCCUAUCAGCUUGUUGGUGGGGUAAUGGCCUACCAAGGCAUCGACGGGUAGCUGGUCUGAGAGGAUGAUCAGCCACACUGGGACUGAGACACGGCCCAGACUCCUACGGGAGGCAGCAGUGGGGAAUCUUGCGCAAUGGGCGAAAGCCUGACGCAGCAACGCCGCGUGCGGGAAGAAGGCUAUCGGGUUGUAAACCGCUUUCAGCAGGAACGAAACUGACGGUACCUGCAGAAGAAGGUGCGGCCAACUACGUGCCAGCAGCCGCAGUAACAC